rnacentral:rRNA from 1 species
UGAAGUGUGGACGCCAGUCUGCAUGGAGCCGGCCUUGAAAUACCACCCUUUAAUGUUUGAUGUUCUAACGUGGACCCGUGAUCCGGGUUGCGGACAGUGUCUGGUAGGUAGUUUGACUGGGGCGGUCUCCUCCUAAAGAGUAACGGAGGAGCACGAAGGUUGGCUAAUCCUGGUCGGACAUCAGGAGGUUAGUGCAAUGGCAUAAGCCAGCUUGACUGCGAGCGUGACGGCGCGAGCAGGUGCGAAAGCAGGUCAUAGUGAUCCGGUGGUUCUGAAUGGAAGGGCCAUCGCUCAACGGAUAAAAGGUACUCCGGGGAUAACAGGCUGAUACCGCCCAAGAGUUCAUAUCGACGGCGGUGUUUGGCACCUCGAUGUCGGCUCAUCACAUCCUGGGGCUGAAGUAGGUCCCAAGGGUAUGGCUGUUCGCCAUUUAAAGUGGUACGCGAGCUGGGUUUAGAACGUCGUGAGACAGUUCGGUCCCUAUCUGCCGUGGGCGCUGGAGAACUGAGGGGGGCUGCUCCUAGUACGAGAGGACCGGAGUGGACGCAUCACUGGUGUUCGGGUUGUCAUGCCAAUGGCACUGCCCGGUAGCUAAAUGCGGAAGAGAUAAGUGCUGAAAGCAUCUAAGCACGAAACUUGCCCCGAGAUGAGUUCUCCCUGACCCUUUAAGGGUCCUGAAGGAACGUUGAAGACGACGACGUUGAUAGGCCGGGUGUGUAAGCGCAGCGAUGCGUUGAGCUAACCGGUACUAAUGAACCGUGAGG